GCUAUUGCUAUUGCUAUGGCAUCCCAUUUAGGCUCUUUUUUCACCCCAAGUGCAUGCACAGAAGGCUGAGCGCAUGCGCGGAGGUGGGCUCACAUAUGCAAAACGGUAGGGAAUACAAGUGAAUACCACCCCUGUUCAUGCCACGGAGAUGGGGACAACCAUAGUUGUAGCAUUGGAAAAUUUGCUAUGAUAAACAGGAUGGAUUGUAACUUGGAAUGUCAGGGUCGCAAAUUCCCCAGAAAAAAAGCAAAAACCCCCCCAACAACUCUUUUUUGUUAUUUGGCAAAAAAUUGAAUCGAGAUAUAAUACCUUUGUAAGAAAAGAGAUAGGCAGAAAGUAUUUAGACAACAAAACAUUGGGUUUGGAAUAUAUUUCUGCCAAUCACAAAAAUAAGAUUAAUGUAGUUUUAUACAUAAUUCUUCAGUUAUAACUACAACUCUUACUAGCGGAUGGCCAAGGCAGAUAUGUUCAAAUUGAACUACAAGGAAUAAAAUUCAUUGUUAUUGGUUUAUAUCACCCAUAUCAAGAAAAGGCUAAUUUUUCUAAACAUUUACUCUGAACAGUUAUUUUCUUUUUCUUGGUACAUUGGUACAUUCUUGGAGAUUGGAAUUGGUAGCAACCCUAUAAUUGGACAUAUUUGUGCUUAAAGUAAUGCAAGGAAAACUACUCCAAAUAUUUUUUAGUUGACAGAUUUUCUAGGUAUACUUAAUGUAUGGAGGUACAAAAAUGGACUCACAAAAGACUAUAUCUUUUUUCCCAGAUAGACAAAUCUUUGACAUGAUAUGGACUACCAAAAAUUUGGCUCAUAAGAUAAUUGAAAUGGACAUUCUUCCAAAAUCUUUUUCAGAUCACAAUCCAGUGACAGUACAUUUUAAAUUCAGAUUGCAGUCUUUUAAGUGGAGGUUAAAUGAAUCCAUCUUGCAAAGACCACAAAUUGUCAAAGGAUGUAAAAAGUAUUUCAAGAUUAUUUUAAUAAUAUGGGUAAGGGACCCAACUUGACCACAGUUUGGGAGGCCUAUAAAACUGUGAUAAGAGAUUACUUGAUACAAUAUGAUACAUGGAUUGAGAAGAAAUCAGCUGGAAAAAUCCAAAAUGUUUUAGAUGAGAUUAAAGGGGGGGGAUUAAAAAUCAUUGGAAAAUCAAAACAUAUUUAAUCAAUUAAAAUUAUUGCAACAACAAAUUUCUAUGUUAACAAUUUCACACAUGAAAAGGAAAUUGAAAUAUACAAAGCAGAUUUUUUAAACAUGCAAAUAAAGGGAGAUGGCUGUACAAAUUAAGAAAACAAACUGAAAAGAAAAUAACUAAAAUUUGUGAAGGAAAUAAGACUCACACGGAUAAUAAAAAUAUCCAAAGACUUUUUGGGAAUUAAUUUAUAGGAGGAGCAAGAAGUUUCAUUGGAACAAAUGAAUGACUAUGUACAAAAUCAAAAUUUACCCAAAUUAUUGGAAGAACAAAAGAAAAUUAUGAACAGUCCAGUAACAACCUUUGAAAUAACAGAAGCAAAUUAAACAGCUAAGAUACUUAAAGCACUGAGACCAGAUGGUUUACUGAGUGGGUUUUUAAAAAAUGUUUGAAGAUCAAUUAUUAUUUUCAAUGAAAGAUUUAAUGAAUUCUAUUUUACAAAGUCAGUCUAUGCUUGAUUCAUGGAAAGAAGUCUACAUUGUUCUCAUGCUCAAGGAAGGGCAAGACUUAACUCUUACCAUAUAUUAUAGUCUUCUUAAUGACUACAAACUUUUUACAUCCAUCCUAACUGAAAGACUAAAAAAUGUUUUACAAGUUGAUGUCCAUGAAGAUCAUCGGUGUGAUUUAUUACCUAAAAGACAACUAAAGGACAAUGUGAGAAUCAUCUAAGAUAUAACUGAAUAUUUACAACAAUGCAAG